UAAUCUCACUACGAUCGACUUUUGGUCUUUCGGUAUGUGGACUUGGAUGCUGCCGUGACAUUCACGACUCGUCUGAAAUGCCUGAGUGUACCCCGCUUUGCGGCGUAUUCGGUGUGAUACAUCUUCACCGGAGUUGAUCCUUUUGGGUCGCGUCUGUAAUGGGUGUGGCUCUAUGCUUCGAACCGUCUCCCGGAGACAACCUCUGACA
rnacentral:misc_RNA from 1 species